UACGUAGGGUGCGAGCGUUAAUCGGAAUUAUUGGGCGUAAAGAGCUCGUAGGCGGUUUGUUGCGUCGGCUGUGAAAUCCCGAGGCUCAACCUCGGGUCUGCAGUCGAUACGAGCAAACUAGAGUGUUGCAGGGGAGACUGGAAUUCCUGGUGUAGCGGUGGAAUGCGCAGAUAUCAGGAGGAACACCGGUGGCGAAGGCGGGUCUCUGGGCCGUUACUGACGCUGAGGAGCGAAAGCGUGGGGAGCGAGCAGG
rnacentral:rRNA from 1 species